ACGCCUGAACCAUAAUCAACUUGCAAGCCUUCCUACAAACGUAUUUGCAAACCUACCAAAGCUUGCGGAACUGUUUAUCCAAAACAACAACCUACCUGUGGAUCAUCAACUUUGCAGAGCGUUUCCUCAAGGACGACCAAAUAUAACCAGUUUUCAAGCAGACUCUGUAGAAUAUAUAAAGAGUCUCAAUUCAACAUUUUGUUCCCAAAGCUGUGACAAUGCCCCAAAAGGAGAGUUUACUUGCAACACUGGCUAUAGAUGUAUGGGUGCUUUAUGGAACUAUACAUGCCAAAUCAUUGGCCCAAAUGUUACCAGUGAUUCACCCGGGAUGCCCAGGAGCGGCUCACUACUUCUUCCUACCAUUUGUAUCACCAUGGUUACAUUUACCCUGGCAAUGAUGACACUGAUCGUGUGAUUAAUGGCAGGCAUGAUGAUUGUUUUGGCGUCUCUGAUUUCAAUUUGAAUUGCAAGCAUGAUUUUCGCCACAUUACUCGUUACUAUUAAUUAUCCACACCGUAUGUUAUUUACGGAGAGUUUGUUUGUUGUGUGUGUUUUCCCAAAAAGAUUGCAUUUCUAAGCCUGUAGGCACCGACAGCUUUCGGUGUAAUGACAGUCUCCCUCUCACAUGUUUGUGUAGGAAUAGUUUGUGAUUGAAGCUUGGAAGAGAUUAGCUGGUUUCCAUCAAGUUUAA